rnacentral:lncRNA from 1 species
GAUUCGUCCAGCCGAUGCAGUUCCAUUUCAUGUUCCCUUAGUUUUCCAAACAAUGUUGCAGUUGUCAUCUUUGCUAAAUCUUUAGAUUCAGCUAUGGCUGUUAUUUUGGGCUGCCAUUCUCUGGUUAGACACCUCAUAAUUUUUCCAAUCUGCUAUUCGUUGUCCACUUGCUUUCCCAAUGCGUGAAGAUUGUUCACAAUGUGUGUGAAUCUGGUUUGCAGAUCGCUGAUGGAUUCGUCCUUUUUCAUGCUGAAUAAUUCGUAUUCGUGCAUAAGUGUAUUUACGCGAGCUCUUUUCACAUCUGUGGUUCCUUCAUGUGUUUCUUGAAGAAUGUCCCACAUUUCUUUUGCUGACUUGCAGUUUGAUACCCUAAAGAAUUCUUCUGCACAAAGAGCAGAUGUUAUAAUGUUCUUAGCCUUAGCAUUAUAACCUACCUUCUUUUUGUCGUCGUCAGACCAGUCGGCUCUAGGCUUGAGAAUCAUUGAGUCAUUUGUUCCUGCAAUCUUGGGAAUGUAUGGACCGUUUUCAACAGCGUCAAGG